AUUUCACAGUCCAUCUUGGUACGGAACGACUCAUCUUCAACUUUCCAAAAAAGAAUGGCAAAUCAACAUGGUGAAACCAACCCCAUUGACAAAAAUCACGGUGAAAAAAAGAUAUCGAUGAAGAUUGACAUCCAGAAGAAGUUCAAUAAAACUGUAGUAGAAAUUGUGCUGAAGGAAGAAAAGGAGGUCGUGACAAUGGAUGUAGAGGAAUCGGGAUCGGGGACACUUGAUGAAGAACCAAUGUCUUGGUCUUCUGUGGACUGAUGGAGGGAGACAAGGUUCUCUUGUAUUUUUAGAU